rnacentral:pre_miRNA from 1 species
AGGAACAACAGUGGCAGCAGCCAGCUCUGGAGCCCUGCAUUCAGCUCCUGCAAUAACUAUGGAGCUCUCAGUCUACAGGGACCUGGAUGCUCUGGGGAUGG